ensembl:vault_RNA Vault Vault RNA
ACGCCAGGUAGCUCAGGGGUUAUAUCACCGGUCUCCAGUCUCACGGUCCGUGGGCAUGAGGUUCGAAUCCCGGGCGCGGUCUGGCGUUUUU